rnacentral:rRNA from 1 species
UACGGAGGAUCCAAGCGUUAUCCGGAUUUAUUGGGUUUAAAGGGUGCGUAGGCGGCUCAUUAAGUCAGGGGUGAAAGACGGUAGCUUAACUAUCGCAGUGCCUUUGAUACUGAUGAGCUUGAGUGUAGUUGAGGUAGGCGGAAUGUGACAAGUAGCGGUGAAAUGCAUAGAUAUGUCACAGAACACCAAUUGCGAAGGCAGCUUACUAAAGUAUGAUUGACGCUGAGGCACGAAAGCGUGGGGAUCAAACAGG